rnacentral:ribozyme from 1 species
AGUAUUCAACUCCUAUCCCUACCUCCUCGUGGUACCGGCCGGAAACUAUGAGCAACCUUAGGAAAGAUCGGGUAAGCUACCCCCGGUGGGAACUUUGAUCGUUGGCUGACAGGGAAGG